ACUACAAAUUAACCUCUAAAGCGUCUACUACACUACUCGCGAAGUUAAUAUCAAAAGAUUCGUUGUGAGACGAAGUUUGCACAAAUUGAGUUUCGCGCGAAGUUGCACUUCAGUUAACUUCGUCGAAUUAUCGGAGUGAAUAGUGUAAUAGACUAUAAGCUAAGUGUUUUUCUAUGUACUUGUAAUUAAGAAAAACGUUCGGUAGGCCUUAGAGCAAAAUAAUGUAAAACUAAACGUUCAGAAAUAGUGCACGUUUAGAUCAUAAAUCAUAAUAAGACAAUUUAAGAAAACAACUGAUCUAUCUUAAAAUGACGGCCGUGGGGUAAACAGUCAACUUUCUCGUAUGUGCAUGUUAAUUUUUCUUGGUUUUUGUCCAGUAGUUCAGUUGUUUUUUGUUUCAUGGUGUUAGGAUUUUAGAUCUAUUUCAUUGAAAUUAAUACAAUCACAACCUUGCAGUCGAAAAAAAAAACAACAAAGUCACGUUUCCGGAAAGAAAUUUCGUACUUUUUCAUGUAGCAACACUUUAAGACGCCAUUUCAAUAUAAAACUGGAAAUAAUAAUCAACAAAAACCAACAAAUAAUUUCACAAACUACACAAAACACUACGGCAUUUGUUUACCCCACGGUGGAAAUUUUUUAAUGGGCAUCAACUGAUUUGGACAAUUUGUUAGAUUGCUUAAUUGUUUUUGACACGUGUAGAUACUAGGUACACUGAAAAAAUAUAUCUUUAAGAAAGUAAAAUAAAAAAAGGUAAGUGGAAAUUUGAGCUUACCCAGAACACUUUUCGUCUGGUUUCCUAAUUUGGCUAAAUAUAAGGAACCUGUAACAUUUCACAAACAUAUUGUUAUAAAAUUAAGUGGGAAUUGAUAUCCCCAAAUUUUUUUACCAAAAAUUUAGCGACACUGUGCAAUAUUUGGUACUAUAAAGCAAAUACAAGUUACUGAAAAAUAUAAAGUUGGUAAGUAUUUCUACAAUAUUUGAUACUGUGCAAUAUUUGGUACUGUAGGGCGAGUACCAGUUGCUGAACAAUAUGAAAGUCAUUAAGAAUUGUUGAAACAUUUAGUACUUCACAAUAUUUGGUACUAUAGAGCGAGUACCAGUUAUUGAACAAUAUAAAGUCAUUAAAAAUUAUAUAACUUUUGACACUGUGCAAUAUUUGGUACUCUAAAUCUAAUACCACUUACUGAAACAUGAAAGUCAUUAAAAAUUGGUAAAACAUUCAACACUAUGUAAUAUUUAGAACUCUAGAGCGCGUACCAGUUACUGAAAAGUAGAAAGUCAUUAAGAAAUGAUAAAACAUGUGACACAGUGCAAUAUAAGGUAUCAUAGAUCAGGUACUGGUUCCUGAAAAUAUUUAAGUUAGUAAUAUAGUGCGAGUACCAGUUACUGAAAAGUAGAAAGUCAUUAACAAUUGCUAAAACGUUUAACACUGUGCAAUAUAAGGUACCAUAGCAGGUACUAGUUCCUGAAAACAUUUAACUUAGUAAUGUAUAGCAAGUACCAGUUAUUGAAAAGUAGUAACUCAUUUGACACUGUGCAAUAUUUGCUACUACAGAGCGAGUACCAGUUACUGAAAAAUAUAAAUUCAUUAAGAAUUGGUAAAACAUUUGACACUGUGCAAUUUUGUAUUAUUCAGAGUCAAAUAAAAAUAGAUAUUAGAUUAACAGCUGUAAAUAAAAAAAGAGAAAUUGUGAAGUAUCUGUAACAAAAAAGUAUUAAGACAUGGUUAAAUUUUUUUAAAAAAAUAUUUUUGUGAAAUUCUAGACAUUUCAAUUAUAACCGCUGGAAUCGUAGGUUCAUAAACGUCCAGUUACUGCACCUGAAAAAAAUUAAAAAUAUUUAUACACUUGAGAAUCCUGUGUUAGUAUAAUAAUGUACUCAGGUGCAAAAUUUUAAUGAUAUGUAUAACAGUGGAUUCGGAUUUGAUUCAUGGUACUAAAGAAAAGGUGAAAUGUUUUCCAAGGUCACGACAAGGUUAUUUGGACCAACAAUUUGAAAUAUAGGCGUAUUUGGAAAAAUCGUUCAAAUUCAAUCAUAAUUAAGAAGUUUUUAAAAAAUAUAUUGCUAAUUUUGCUCAUGUAUUCAGUUAUAUCGCAGUUUUUCUUGUAGACGCCAUUUUUAGAUUCUUAUUUGGAAUUUUGAAAAUAAUAUUCAAGAUUCCUAUUAAAUUUCACUUUUUUAACAAAUCUACUAAUUUAACGAAUGUAUCAAAUUGUAAAUUGACAGCAUCGUUUAAAAAGGAAUUGGAUCUUAAAAAAAAUGAUCAUACCUCAUAUGAAAUUGAGCUACGUAGACAAAAUCGUUGGAAGAUGCUCUCUUAACGAGCCACGAACUGGAAAUGCUGCGAAACUUCGUCUCACAAUUCAGGAGCUUAAAUAAAAUCAAUAGUCCAAGGGAUAUUCUUUACAGAGCCGUAUUAAGGGUUCCCAGCAAAAUUUGCCUGAUAAAUUCCCUGACCAAAAGGUACGCGCAAAAUCAGCUUGGAUUACUUAGCAUUUUAACAACUUUCCACAACUCUGCGAAAUUUUUAUGAUCGUCCAAGAUGUCAAAAAAGAACUUAUCAAGGCCAACUUCAUCUGUGGGUACUUUAAAAAAAGUUUCAAAUUCAUGUUGAAGACGCAGAUUGGCUGCAUUGGUUAAAUUAAUGUACUGCUGCUUUGCUUUUUCGGCAACAUCAUGGAUUUAAGAAUUACACGAAACCGCAGUGCCUUCACCAUCUUGGUGUAUAAUAUACAAAACGUUUCUCCAUCCAUCUUUCAAGGACUCUUUUUGAAAAUUAUUUUUUUCCAAUAUUUAAUUGUUAAAACAAUUAAUUUCGAAUACGCCCCUGCUUGCUUGUAUAUAACGAUCGAUCAGAGAACUAUUAACCUGUGUUUCGUCUGGGAUUGGAUGCUCUUGUAACCAGUAGGUUUAUGUAGGUCAGAUAAAGAUACCAGAGAAGGCUCAGAUAUAGCACAUUUCAGCAAUAAUUGGAGUCAUUAUUAUUUUAUCAACUUUGGAAGUAAAUCACAACUUGCCUUUAUGACCCGGUCUUGCUCUUGGUGUGAUGAUUAUGUGGUUUUGUAGAAAAAAAAAGAUGUUAUUACUUAAAUUUUUAUAUUUGACAUACUUGUACGAUAUUCAAUUCUACAAUAAUCUUUUCAGACAUGCAGUUAGUAACUAAAAUAUAUGCAACUUACUUCCCAAUAAAAAAAAUACAACAGUUUUCAACAAAAUAAAGUGAGAGUUAACUUUUGAAUGAGAGUUAAUGAUCGGGAGGUCUCAUCUUGCACAGAUUCUGUAACGGCAACAUUGUAAUAUCGUUUUUAAUCUUCACAACUCCUUCAUGUAAAUCUAUAGAUAGUAGUUCACCGGUUUGUUCUCUUUCUUCGCCAAUAAUAACCUGAAAGAAUUUAUUAUUUAGCAGACUGGAUAUAUACUUUCUAAAUCACUGUUACAUACUACACAGGUAAAUAUGUUACACUUGUAGUGUGCAAUUUGUAAUUCAUCUGUAAUUGUUACUUACCUUAAAUUGAUCACCUCUUUGAGGCCUCACUGGAUCUAGGUGAUCACACAUAAUAUUAACCACCCUAUCUUCAGCAGGGAGGAAAACUGUACACAUAGCCCCUGAAAUACUUCUUAUAACUCCAGUCUGUCCUACUAAACCUUUAUCAUCGUGACUAUCUCGAAUUCUAACCUAAAAUAUAUAUAUUUUAUGCUA